AUUGAACGCUGGCGGCAGGCCUAACACAUGCAAGUCGAGCGGAUGAAGGGAGCUUGCUCCUGGAUUCAGCGGCGGACGGGUGAGUAAUUCCUAGGAAUCUGCCUUGUAUUGGGGGAUAACGUCCGGAAACGGGCGCUAAUACCGCAUACGUCCUGAUGGAGAAAGUGGGGGAUCUUCGGACCUCACGCUAUCAGAUGAGCCUAGGUCGGAUUAGCUAGUUGGUUGGGUAAAGGCCUACCAAGGCGACGAUCCGUAACUGCUCUGAGAGGAUGAUCAGUCACACUGGAACUGAGACACGGUCCAGACUCCUACGGGAGGCAGCAGUGGGGAAUAUUGGACAAUGGGCGAAAGCCUGAUCCAGCCAUGCCGCGUGUGUGAAGAAGGUCUUCGGAUUGUAAAGCACUUUAAGUUGGGAGGAAGGGCAGUAAGUUAAUACCUUGAUGUUGUGACGUUACCAACAGAAUAAGCACCGGCUAACUUCGUG
rnacentral:rRNA from 1 species